UCAGGUGGUACUACUUGAUAAGCAACUCUCAUAUCUUUUCUUUCUGAGGGAAGAGUUAAUGAAUGUAAGAAGCUUAUUGCCUUCUGGCUGGAAUAUAGGGAAAGUAAACAUAGGACCACAGAUGAGUACAUAUAGGCAUUGGCAUAGGUACAGUGGAGAUCAUUGAUUGGGGUCAAGUCUACCAGCACUCACCUAGAAUCUGUCAUAUUAGUUUAUGAAGUAAAGAAAGAAUGAGUUAAAGUAGGUGUACUUUUGACAUAUUCACAAAGAGUAUCAACCAAUAGGCGGCUAGGAGUUUGUUGCUUGGGACGACUAUCAUCUAUCUGUCUUAGGUUAUGUAUUCCUUUAGUGAUUGGAAUAGGACGAGGAGUCUAACUAAGGAGUAUAAUGGAAUUGCUUGUCAACCAUAGGCUUCUUCUACGGAGCUUAGGAGAACUAGAAUCUGAGGAAAAGAAGAAAUGUCUAUCCUUGGGGAUAGAGCAAGGUCCUAUAGCGAGACAUUCUUUCUCUUCCAGGACAAGGAAAUCGUAAUGGGUUAGAUAAGUUCCUGCCUCAACAGUCCGGAUUGAAGUCUGGUCAAGAGAAGAGGUUCGGUCAAGGGUGAAGGAGUCGAAUUAGAAUACCAUUGAGUGGAAAAUUCCAUGUCAGAGUUUUUUAAGAAAGCUCUAAGCCCAGUUGAAGCUUAAAGCAAAGAUAGGAUUGGCAUUUCUAAGCUAGAAAAGGCUUUUUUGAAUGUAGGGCGAACCCCCCUCCCCUAGUCAUCGAGGAGGGGAGGUAGCUUAUUGACCAACUGUAUAGGGUAGGCAGGCUGAGUUCCCUUUCGCUUGAUGCAAUGUCAAUUCUAAAUCAAGCAAUUGAUGGAAUCAAAAGAGGGAACGAAAGUAAAUGAGAAAUUACUUUUCACUCGGAAUUCUUUAUUCAUUUGAAAACGAGACUCUCACUCGCCUUUUUCUUUUCUUAUCCCCUAAUCUACUACUUCAAAGCAGUGUUUCUGCAGUGUUCCUAAGACAGAAAGAACUCUGAGCUAUGUCUGGUUUAGUGUCAACUAAUCUUUAACCCUUUGAUGGUAGAGGGGAGUAACUCGCUUUUAGCCCUCUACAACUGAAGUUCUCAUGUACUUAAAUAACAAGAUUGAAUAGGCCACAAGGCCAGAGAAAAGGUAGGUUAAUUGUUCUAGGAUUGGUUGUCUCAUUGACAAGUGAUGGGAGUAUCAGGGUUUCGAUACCCAUGGCAACGUGGAACAAGCGAAAGAAAGAGCCAUGAAAGCCUAAACCUGAACUGCAGAUCCUAGAAGAAAGGUAGCGUAGUCUUGUGGAAAUAUGCCCAUAAGAAUUCCAAGAACAAUCAAAUAAGUAGUGAAUUCCCAUAAGGAAGAGAAGACACCCUAAACUCUAAAGUACUAACUAAACUAGAUAAAGUACUGACUAAACUAGAUAGGCCCUAGCCUUCGCUAGGUUAGGGUUGCGAUUGUGAUAAUCCGGGUCAGUCGAGGCUGGUAAAGUAACUAAGUUGCAAAGAAAACCUCAGAUAGACUAGCUUAGGAAAUGGUGAAGCUUUAGAAUUACCAAUGGAUAAACUGAUAUGGGACUGAAACCGAUUUCAAUAGUUCUGAGGCAUGGGAGAAGUGGAUUCAAUGGGGAUGAUGAUGGCCCGAGAUAAGAAUGGGAAGUUGAUCAAGAUCUUUAAUGGAGAAUUGCUGAUGUAAAGUAUGUCAGAGGUGUUUCAUUGCAGAAGAUGAAUUACCAGUAACGAUAAUAUCAUCAACGUAGAUCAAAAUGUAAAUGUAGGAAAUCCUACCCUGAUUUCAGAAAAAAUAGAGAAGCCUGUAGUUGAGCACCUAUCUGAAUAGGCGUAACAAAGCUACCUGAAAAAGGCAAGGUGUACCUUAAAUUGAAAUCGAAAAAUUGCGUUUUGCCAGAUGGAUCCUUUAGAAAGAUUCCCGGAUAAAGUUCAGUAUAAUAUUUAGUUAGAAUCUAAAUAAAGGCGCAUACGUGGGCGGGCAGGGGGCCCCACUACUUCUUCAUUCAGGGGGGCUAGCCUCAUGACUUCCCACUGGGCGAGGGGUGCACCUAACCCACCUACUCACUCAUCAAUUACGGUGUUCAGCUGACUUGCACAGAAAGACCCCUAUUGUUUAGUAAUUUGGCGCCCCAUCUUUUGAUUGACUGUUGUCAACUAAUCUUUUCAAUGUUCGAUUCUACUCUAUGUUAGAACAUUUCAGUGAAUGCUAUUUCGAUCUAAGUGGUCCUAUUCUGUCGACGAAAGCUAGUCGGCAGUCUACCUUGGGGUAUACCCACGGUAGUAGUUUAUCGGUAGACGGUGCGCAAACUACGAACUUGAUGGUGACGCAAGACACGGACAAGCUUUUUAUCCAGGUUCGGCCGCCGAGUUGGCGUAAUACCUACGUCCUGCGUCUGGUUGUAUUGAUUUGCGCUGAGAGAAUAUGAUGUCCUAGGGGGGUCCCUUGCCCCUCCUUAUGUGGCAGAACCCCCUAAGUGUUUGGGCCCACCGGCACCUGCCAUUGUCCUAAGGACCUCUGACAGUGAUGCCGGGAGUCCUCCCACUUUAGAAGUCCGAUGAGCCUUACUGUGUGCUCAUUCCACUGCUACCUGUGGCGUAUCAAUCUGACUCGUCCUGACCACUCACAAUGGUCAAACAACGAGAACUGUUUCUUCUCGCCCUUACAGGAUAGCAAGUGGCCACCUUAACUCCAGGAUCAUUCGUUGCGAAGAUGAAGCAGUAACUCAUCGACACAAGACCAAAAUAGUAUUUCAGAGUGAAACAGCGGAAGUAUUACAUAACAUAAUUUACAAAAGGAGUUCUUCCAAAUAGCAGAGUGUUAUUACAACCCUGGUCCAACGGAGCAACUUAAACUUUAGUACAGACAAAACAAAUUUACAGACCCUGCCCAUGGGCCACGCUCACUCUUCUUCGUCGUCAACCUCGACGACGGUCACACAACAGGGUCCGAAACAAGUCGGCUCCUGAACUUCACCUGCAACAGGGGUAUUGAAACCCUGAGUACGGGAGUACUCAACAAGACUUAUCCGACGGGAAAAGAGGAGAAUUUAGGGAUGCAGGCUUAGGGUAGACAAGGGGUGGCUGAGCAAGGAGCCAAAUGUUUUGCGGAAAAGCUUACUAGUAGUGCAUCCUUAUUUUCAAGUUUUACCCUGAAUUCCUCCCUCGCAGAGGCAGACGAAUUCGAGGAUAGUCUAACUAGUUGUUUCCCACAGAUGAAUCCGUGAGUUCCUAAUCCUAUCAUUAAGUAUUAUUUAUCGAUGGUCAUAGCUUCAUGUCGCUAUGAGUCCGGGAAUUGGGAUCCGAACCUCAUGAGACAUUUUCCCCUUUCUCAUCUUAUCACUUAGUUGCAUAUUUAACUACGAUGAGGGUCGAAGGAAUUGAGUCUCCCAAUCGGGGAGCAACGACGAUUCGAAUCGCUUAGCAAUCCAGCUGGAGUUCCUAACCACCCGACAUAUGUAGAACCAAAUCUUGCAUAUAUCAACCCAAAUCAAGCUCUCCCCAAAUUUGACCAGGUUCGCGGCACCCGAGAGCACAGUACUCCACCAUCCUACAGCCGAUCUAGAUGUUUCCCGGUCAUCUCAGAUCCGUAAGGUGGGUACACACUACCCUCGCCAUCUUUCCACUCCCAGUGCGCGAGUAGCUGUUCGCGUCGAGGGAUCACAAGACCGGGCUUACCCGUGGCAAGUGGCUAGUACUAUAAAUUCUCAACCCAGCAGGCCAUCAACGGACCGGUCCUUAACCGACACAGUUGGAGACACUACUUUAAGACUCCAUUCUUAAAGCAAGUCCACCGACCGGUCUCAAAUUGAAAUAUCAUUGAUCACAAGUGUAUCCCACAACAACCCUUCAAACUUUCUUGUUUAAAAACCUAUCUAGUAGCAGGGCUAAGCAUCGCUACGCAGUUUUAAAAUAAAACAGGUGUCAAGGACAGGAUAACAGAUAUCAAGGUAGUAAAUGCAGCAAGUAGGUUAACCCAAUUCUCAACUAUCUAAUGCAGCAUUUUCAAUUCAUAUGUGAUAAAAGAUUUAAAACAUCCAAGGAGGGGUUAAUGCAUCCGGGGCUUGCCUUGGUUGCAGGGCAGAGAGGGACCCUCGGAGACUUCCCAAGUCUCGGAUCCGACUUCCUCGAACGGAGCACCGUCCUCGGGGUUCGGUUCAACGGGCGCUCCUUCGGUCACGGACACUAUACGCAAAAUGAUGAAUGCUCAUGAUAUGCGUAUGACACAUAUGCAAGAAGGACUAGAUCGAGCACAGUUUGCCUUCUCGGUGCAAUACAGAAUAAAUUAUAAAUAAAGUUGUUUAACACCUUAGCAUCUUUAUUCAAGAGGUUACAACAGUAAACUAAGACUUUACUUACUUCUCAAUUAUCUUAAAUUAAUUAAUUAUUAACUCUAUUUAUCUUAAUUAAUUCUUAAUUAAUUACUAAUGACAUUAAUUAAGUAUUAGAAUCAGACAAUAAUUAAGUGCCAGGGGUCAUUAGGGUUAAUGACCUCAGGUCAUCACUAAAUUCCAAAAUCACUCAAUCCUAAGUAUGAUGAUUUAACUAAUCACCUUCUAAUUAUUUUGGAAUUAUUAUUUAAGUGCUAAUUAGGGGUUUAUUAAUAUUUUAAUCAAACAUCAUCCAAAUAUCAUCAAAAUUUGUGGGGGGCCAGGGAAUAAUAUUCAGAGGCUCUCCACCAAUUUUGGUGAUUUUUGGACAUACCAUUAAGUUAUUAAAAAUCAUACAAGUUUCAUUUAGUAAUUAAAGGAGCCAAUUUUUAUAUUCUUACAAAGUAUCAGAAACUAGAGCCUAAUAUUUUUCCUGGUUUCUAAGUAUUUCAGGGAGUCUACCCAAAAUUUGCCCUGAUUUUUGGAUCAACACACAAAUUUUUACACAAAUUCAAACUUUCAGCAUGUUUAAACAAAAGGGAAAAAGGAAAAAGGCACUGUGCUACCGGCGGCCCGCUCGGAUCCGGCCCAAGUUGGCCUGCGGUGUCCUCCCGCGCGGACCGCGCGCGCCGCCCCCUCUUCACGCGCUGCGAGACGCUGACAGGCGGGACCCGCUUGUCAGCUCCGCCUUGCUCACUCACGGCGGCGCUGCCGCCGCUCCGGCGACUGUUAUGGAGUUCCCCGGCCCCCGCGCGCGUGCGCACCGGCACCGCGUCAACUUCGCGAUCCCACGGACACCCUCUAAACACGCUCUACUCUCCCGCUACCCCCUUGGUCACGCAAGAGGCGGGCGGCCGCCAUGGCCGACCCUCGGCCGGCCGCUAGAGACCGGUAGAGUGCAAAAGGACGGAACCGGGAGCUUCAGGGAGGGUUAGGGAGUACGGUGCUCACGUCACCACGGCGGGAGAAGCAGUAGGAAGCGCUGGCGUCGUUGGCCGAGGAAUCGGGCGGGUGUUCCGGCUCCGGCAAGGCUGUUCCGGCAAUCCUGUUCGUGUCCCGUGAGAAAAAGUGAGCGCAUGAGCAUCAGGGAAACAAGAGGAGUGCGAAACGAUCACUGGUAAGGCGUGGUACCGAGUGGAGCAACGUACCCACGCGAAGGGUUCCACGGCGGCGAUGCCGGCCGGACUCAGGGAAGAAGAAGAAGCGUUGGCGUUUGAGGGGGUUAGAGAGGGAGCUUGGGGGCGCACUGGAUUCGCAGGAAGGUGACGAAGACACUGGGUGGCUCAAUUUGGCUCGGGAAGGAGUGGUUGUGACGAAUUUGGAAGAGAGAGGUCGUCGGUUUCCUUGGCUCAGGACGGAGGGGAUGCACGGUGUCGUCCACGUCGGUGCGCAAGUGGAGAGGAAGGCGAGCCCGCGGCAUCCACGUCGCCUGGCGACCCUGACAGCAAGCAGCUGCGUGCACGCACGCAUGCGCGCGGCGCUGCUCGCACGGCGGGUGCGCUGGACAGGGCGCCGGUGAUCCAUAUCGGAUCACUGUAGCGACCUCUAUCCCCCCUCCUCUGUCUUUUGCAAAAUUCAGCCGAAAUUUGAACUGGGACCAAAUUUGUGUCAAAACAAAAGUUGUUCCAAAUUUUAUAAGCUACAAAACUUAUUUAGGUGACCCAAGCUGAUUCUAAGUGGGAAGAGGUCAAUUUGGCCAGACAGUUUGAAAAUCAAACUCAAAUUGCUGAAAUUCAAAUUUUUGAAUUGGGGAUAAAUCAGAGAUUCCAAAAUUACUUUUGAUUUUGUAUAACAACUUGAAAAACUCCCAACAUGAAAGUUGUUCAACUUUUUGUGCUCUACAACUUUCAUGUUGACCACUUUUCAAAAUUCCAAAUGGAUUUUGAAUUGGGGGUUUAAGUUGGAAAAGGGGACACUUUCUGGAAAUCUGCAUUUUCAAAAUUACUUUGAAUUUUGUAUUGAAACUUCAAAAACUCAAAACACCAAAGUUGUACAUCUUGCCAAGAUCUACAACUUUGCUUUUGAACUCAACCUCAAAUUUUGCUUAGUUUUUGAAUUGCACAAAAGGGGGCAGUUCUAGGGUUCAAAAUCAGGGUUUUCCCCCCUUAGCCUAUCGGAAAACUUCCACCCUAGGGUUUUAGCAAUCACACAAGCAACAACACAUCACAGAAGCACACUCUACUUCCCUAAGCUCAAGCAUUCAAAAUAAACUUAUUUUAAGUUGAUGCAUACUAAUGUGCUUUAACCAAUAUGAUUUGCAAUGCUCAUGAUGACAUGAUCCAUUUUUAGUAACCGUAACAUCAGGGAUGUUACAGCCCUUCCCCCUUAAAGAAAUCUCGUCCCCGAGAUUUAAAACCUUAGGGUAAGUAAUGGAAAAGGAAAUUUGUCAAAACUCUUUCAUCUUCAGCUUUUCCAUAAGGCAAGGUGUUGGGGAAAAAUACUUCAUUAUAAGCAUAUAUGUACAUUAAGUACAUGGCUCUGGCGACUCUUUUCCUUUACUAGAGUACACUCUUUAUUUAUCACAUGUUCUCCUGAAGAGAAGCAUGAAAUUCCGGAAAAUUCUCUAGCAAGUAAUCUUCAGAUUCCCAGGUGGCUUCUUCUUCAGAGUGCUGGCUCCAUUGUACCUUAUACCAUUUGGUGGUUGUUCUCCGAGUAACUCUAUCUUUUUGAUCCAGUACUCGGAUAGGAUAUUCCGAAUAAGUUAAAUCUGGUUCAAGCUUUACAUCUUCAAUAUCUUGAACUCGGUCUGGUACCCGAAGACACUUUUUCAGUUGAGACACAUGGAACACAUUAUGUAUCCCGGAUAAUCGUUCGGGCAGUUUAAGGCGGUAAGCGACUUGCCCACAUCGGUCAAUAAUUGGAAAUGGACCAAUGUAACGAGGCGCUAACUUGCCUUUAACACCAAAACGAUUUACUCCUUUCAUUGGGGAUACUUUCAAAUACACAUGAUCACCUUUGGCGAACUUUAAUGGUCGACGUCUUUUAUCAGCGUAACUUUUCUGUCGGGACUGAGCAACUUUCAAGUUAUUUUGGAUUUGUUUCACUUUGUUCUCAGUCUCUUUCACUAAGUCAACUCCGAAGAACCAUCUUUCUCCAGGUUCCGACCAGUGUAACGGAGUUCGACAUCGGCGACCAUACAGUGCCUCAAAGGGAGCCAUUUUGAUACUCUCUUGAUAGCUAUUAUUGUAGGAAAAUUCUGCUAGAGGCAAGCAGUCAUCCCACUUAUCUGGAAAAUUCAGGGCACAAGAUCUUAAUAGAUCUUCUAGGGUUUGAUUUACCCUUUCCGUUUGCCCACCAGUUUGAGGGUGGUAGGCUGUGCUGUAUAAAAGCUUAGUACCCAAGGACUCAUGUAAACAUUUCCAGAAUUGGGAGACAAAUUGUGUGCCUCUAUCUGACACUAUUGUCUUGGGCACUCCAUGCAGACUUAGGAUACGGUCAAAAUAAAUCUUAGCAUAGGUGGAGGCAGUAUACAAUAGCUUUACUGGCAGAAAAUGUGCUGUUUUGGUGAGACGAUCUACUAUGACCCAAAUGGAGUCAAAGCCCUUGGCCGUCUUGGGCAAUCCUACUAUAAAAUCCAUACUUAUGUCAUCCCAUUUCCAUGCGGGGAUAGGCAAAGGUUGCAACUCCCCAGCGGAUUUGAGAUGAAUGGCUUUGACUUUUCGACAGGUGUCACACUGGGCCACAUAGCGAGCUAUUUCUAUCUUCAUUUUUGUCCACCAAAACCUUUGCUUCAGGUCCUGAUACAUCUUAUUGCUUCCCGGAUGAAUAGAAUACCUCGUGGUAUGAGCUUCAUCUAGGAUUUGCUGACGUAGCUCAGGUACCUUUGGAACCACUAACCGGUUCUUGAACCAGAUUACUCCCGCCUCAUCCACCUUAAAGUCUGUGAGCGCUCUAUUAGAAAUCUUCUCUUUAAGAUGUCUCAUGCCUUUGUUUUCUUUUUGUGCCUUUAUGAUUUGAGCCUCGAGAUUGAAAUCAAUCUUUAAAUUGGAAAGGCUUCCUUGGGAAAUCAUUUCUAUUCCCAAGUUCUCUAGCUCUUGGCACAGAGUUAUAUCCCUAGGCUUCACUGUUAAGCAAUUACAGUGAGCCUUACGACUGAGGGCAUCCGCUACUACAUUUGCCUUGCCAGGGUGAUAAUGCACCUCAAGGUCGUAAUCUUUAAUUAGUUCUAGCCACCUUCGCUGGCGCAUAUUAAGCUCAGCUUGAGUAAAGAUAUACUUCAAGCUUUUGUGAUCUGUAUAUAGAUGACAUGUGUUUCCCAACAAAUAAUGACGCCAGAUUUUUAAUGCAUGUACCACGGCGGCUAGUUCGAGGUCAUGGGUCGGGUAAUUCUCUUCAUGAGGUUUGAGUUGCCUGGAAGCAUAUGCAAUUACGCGACCCUCCUGCAUCAGCACACAGCCCAACCCGAUUCCUGAUGCAUCACAAUAUACAUCAAAGGGUUUUUCAAUAUCUGGCUGGGCUAAGACAGGUGCAGUUGUCAACAACCUUUUCAGAGUCUGAAAAGCUUGCUCACAUUGAGGUGACCAAACAAAUUUUGUUUGACUUUUGAGCAAGGUUGUGAUUGGUUUGGCGACCCUGGAAAAGUCUGGGAUAAAACGACGGUAAUAUCCCGCCAUGCCCAGAAAACUACGGACCUCAUGUACCGUAGUUGGGGGUUUCCAAUUCAACACAUCUUCGACCUUGCCUGGGUCUACAACGACUCCUUCCGCUGAUAACACAUGACCCAGGAAAUGAACCUUGUCCAGCCAGAACUCACAUUUGCUGAACUUGGCAUAUAGCUGGUGCUCCCUGAGACGGGUCAGCACGAUUCUCAAGUGUUCAGCAUGUUCCUUCUUAGUUUUGGAGUAAAUCAAGAUGUCAUCGAUAAAGACGACCACAAAUUUGUCUAGUUCUGGCAUGAAGACAGAGUUCAUCAAGUACAUAAAAUGGGCCGGUGCGUUAGUCAACCCAAAAGACAUUACCAAGUAUUCAUACAACCCGUAACGGGUCGUGAAAGCAGUCUUGGGCACAUCUUCCGGCCUAAUUUUAAUUUGAUGGUAUCCUGAUCUCAAAUCAAUUUUUGAGAACACUUUGGCCCCAGCUAGCUGGUCAAACAGUAAGUCAAUGCGGGGCAAUGGGUACUUAUUCUUAAUCGUCACCUCAUUUAGAGGACGAUAAUCGACGCACAGCCUUAAGGUCUGAUCUUUCUUCUUCACAAACAGGGCUGGGCAACCCCAUGGAGAAGAACUGGGCUGAAUAAAACCCUUCUGCAACAAUUCUUGUAAUUGGGUUUUUAAUUCGGCCAGCUCUUUCGGUGCCAUUCUGUAGGCCCUUCGAGAUAUUGGGGCCGUUCCCGGUUUCAAUUCUAUACUGAAUUGUACAUCCCGGUCCGGAGGCAGACCUGGUAAAUCUUCAGGAAAUACAUCCGGGAAAUCUCGAACUACCGGGAUAUCUUUAACUUCAGACACCUUAGCGGCAUGAACUUGCCCAAUUGUCCGUUUGGGAGUAACUAGUUGGAUUAGCAAGUAAGAGCUCUCAUUGGGCAAUGGGAUUUUAAUGGUUCGGUGCAAAGUGUCUAGCACAACCCCUCGUUGCGCCAUCCAGUUCAUGCCUAAGAUGACAUCAAUUUCUUGGUCCUUAAGAACAAUCAUGCUAGUAGGAAAAUUGUGCCCACCAAAUUCGAUGGGUACUUGGUGAACCAUUUCUUUAGACAUCAGCCGUCCUCCUGGCGACUGUAUAUAAAAAUGAUCUUGUGUUUCCCCAAUGGGUAUACCAUGCUUUAACACAAAGGUGCGAUUGAUAAAUGUAUGGGAUGCACCGGAAUCAAAGAGCAUUAAAGCAGGAUGCUUGGCAACAGGAAACGUACCCAUCAUCACUGGUUCACCCUCUGGAAUUGUCUCCACUUCAGUAUGGAAGACUUGCCCUGUCUUCUUUACCGGUCUACCUUUCUGUAUCUGUUGCCCUUUUUGAGCCCCAGUCCUAAACUGGCCCGGCUGGGGUUGGCCCAUAGGUGGCCUUUGAAAGGUAGGGUUGGUUUGGCGGGGAAAAGGGCACUCUUUAGAGAAAUGCCCAGGCUUACCACAAUUAAAGCAAGGGUAAUUGUGGCUGGGCAGAGCAGUAGGGCGAACACCCGGGGCGUUCGGCUGACGUGGUGCAAAAGCGAUGGCAGUAGGUCGAGAGUAUACCUGCUGCCCGGGUCUGUACUGUGGAGGGGAGAAAGGACCACGAUAAGGCGACGGCGCUUGGAAACGUCCGUGGCCUUGUGGAUGAUAAAUGACCCUCUGGCGCUUUUGACCGCGACCAGAGAAAGAAGAGGAAGCAGCCUUCUUUUUGGCUUCCUUGUGUUUUCUAUUCUUCUCCUCAGAGGCGAUGGCAAUAUUGACCGCCUCAUAGAAGGUAGCAUUUUGGCAUGUAGUCAUCAUGGUCUGAAGUUUAGUAUUUAGACCACGCAUGAAACAGGCUUUCUUCUUUCUGUCUGUGUUCACAUAAUCCGUGGCAUAUUGAGAAAGAUGAUUGAACCUUGCCACGUAUUCCAUAACACUUUUGUCGCCUUGCUGCAAGGCGAGAAACUCUUCGGCCUUCAUGGCCAUGAGCCCUUCGGGGAUGUAGUGGGCGCGAAAUGCGUCCCUAAACUCAGUCCAGGUAACUUGGUGUCCGGGAGCUUGAAUAGCUAAGAAGUUCUCCCACCAAGCACCUGCAGCUCCCCGAAGCUGCUGGGCUGCAAAUAAGGGUUUCUGAGUUUCCGAACACUGAAUUAAACUGAACUUAUGCUCCAUAGUUCGGAGCCAGUCAUCCGCUUCUAAAGGCUCAUCGGCCUUAGUGAACACUGGGGGCCUGGUCUCGGUGAAAUCCACAUACCGAGUCUCUCCGUCCCCGUUGCGCGGUGCCCUGAAGUUUGAAGCAGGGUGUGUUUGACGCUGGGCUAGCUCGCGCAGCAAGCGAGCAUUGUCAGUUGUGGCACUUAGCAGGACCGCAAUGGCGUCAGCCAAAGAAGGUGGAGCAGGUGGAGGGUUGGGGAUAUCAUCCCCUCCCUGGGAUGUCCCAGCUCCAUCGGAUCCGCGAGUACGCAUCGGCAUCUGUUACAAGAAUCGUAGAUACCUGUUACCACGUAGAAUUCAUAACACAGAACAUACCUCACAUUCACUUAUUAAACAUUAGUUAGAUACACACCAAGAGUAAACAAGUUCAACUUUUCAAACCACAAGAACACUUAUAUUACAAACCCAAACCUCACUACGGUAAACUAAGACCCCUACAACGACGUUGCCCUCGGUUUCACCGAACUAAUCGGUGUGGCCAGAGCUGUAGCCCGGGUCGUCGUUACCAUCAUCUUGAUUACCCCCUGGGUUGUGGUCAUCGGGGUCGGACUCCUCUUCAUCACUGAGGCCUGGAUCGGGUUCUCCAUCGUCCGCCAACUCGCCAUCCGUAUCCAUUUCUCCUUCGCCGGGAGGUGGGUGGAGUUGAUGAUACAGAUCAAAUGCAAUAUCCCGAUAUUGCAUAGCCAGGUCAUUGACUGUAUCUAAGUGAUGUGCCAGCUCCAGUUUCUCCAGCUGGAGCUGGUCCUCUCGUUGCCACGCAACAUCCCGUUGUGCGGUGACCGUGGCCGCCAUCUUCACAUACAAAUCCUUGAGAUACUUUGCCUUGCCCAACUUUGCGCUCAUCCUAGUUAGCUCAUGCCUAUGGGUGCUCCUAGCUUCUUCCUCUCGGGCAAUGGCUGCGUUCCGCUCCUCCACCAUCCGGGACAACAUAGCUUCACAGUUUUCCGUAGCUUGUUUUUCUUUGGCCAGUUGAGCUUUGAGUUUGCCAAUCUCCAUAACAUUGUACAUUCUCUCUCUCAUCACCUCAGUCAACUCGGCGGACAGCCUGUCCACCUCCUGCUGAGGCGGUGUGCGGCUACUACUGGCUUGAUCACUACGUGGAGCUAGCUGAUGUCGAGGAACUCCUUUUGGACCUGUCCGCUUACGCGGGGUCUGCUUCUGACGAGCCAUCCUGUAGAGGGUAAGUUUAGAUUAGUAAGAGAGACCUUAAAGGUUAGCAAGAAUAGGAUUGAUUCUAUUCACCCACCCCGAACAAGGAGGAAGGAACUUAACCAGUUAAUACAUCAUGAUGCAUGCACGAACUUACGAUUCCUACUAACAAAUCGAAACGAUAUUACUUUAAACUUUUACAACCUCGGGCAAUACUUUAGGUUGCUCCUCCAGACCACUUAAAUAAAAUUCUAAGAAAGCCUAUAGACAGGGGUAGGUUAGGACUAAGCACUUGGACUCAAAAUAGGCAGGUUCAUAGUAUUAGUUUCAAACGAAUUUUUGAAGUUUUUCAAAAGGUUCAGCAGUCAUCUUAGCAACGAAUGCUCUGAUACCAGCUGUGGCAGAACCCCCUAAGUGUUUGGGCCCACCGGCACCUGCCAUUGUCCUAAGGACCUCUGACGGUGAUGCCGGGAGUCCUCCCACUUUAGAAGUCCGAUGAGCCUUACUGUGUGCUCAUUCCACUGCUACCUGUGGCGUAUCGAUCGGACUCGUCCUGACCACUCACAAUGGUCAAACAACGAGAACUGUUUCUUCUCGCCCUUACAGGAUAGCAAGUGGCCACCUUAACUCCAGGAUCAUUCGUUGCGAAGAUAAAGCAGUAACUCAUCGACACAAGACCAAAAUAGUAUUUCAGAGUGAAACAGCGGAAGUAUUACAUAACAUAAUUUACAAAAGGAGUUCUUCCAAAUAGCAGAGUGUUAUUACAACCCUGGUCCAACGGAGCAACUUAAACUUUAGUACAGACAAAACAAAUUUACAGACCCUGCCCAUGGGCCACGCUCACUCUUCUUCGUCGUCAACCUCGACGACGGUCACACAACAGGGUCCGAAACAAGUCGGCUCCUGAGCUUCACCUGCAACAGGGGUAUUGAAACCCUGAGUACGGGAGUACUCAACAAGACUUAUCCGACGGGAAAAGAGGAGAAUUUAGGGGUGCAGGUUUAGGGUAGACAAGGGGUGGCUGAGCAAGGAGCCAAAUGUUUUGCGGAAAAGCUUACUAGUAGUGCAUCCUUAUUUUCAAGUUUUACCCUGAAUUCCUCCCUCGCAGAGGCAGACGAAUUCGAGGAUAGUCUAACUAGUUGUUUCCCACAGAUGAAUCCGUGAGUUCCUAAUCCUAUCAUUAAGUGUUAUUUAUUGAUGGUCAUAGCUUCAUGUCGCUAUGAGUCCGGGAAUUGGGAUCCGAACCUCAUGAGACAUUUUCCCCUUUCUCAUUAUAUCACUUAGUUGCAUAUUUAACUACGCUGAGGGUCGAAGGAAUUGAGUCUCCCAAUCGGGGAGCAACGACGAUUCGAAUCGCUUAGCAAUCCAGCUGGAGUUCCUAACCACCCGACAUAUGUAGAACCAAAUCUUGCAUAUAUCAACCCAAAUCAAGCUCUCCCCAAAUUUGACCAGGUUCGCGGCACCCGAGAGCACAGUACUCCACCAUCCUACAGCCGAUCUAGAUGUUUCCCGGUCAUCUCAGAUCCGUAAGGUGGGCACACGUUACUCUCGCCAUCUUUCCACUCCCAGUGCGCGAGUAGCUGUUCGCGUCGAGGGAUCACAAGACCGGGCUUACCGAGGGCAAGUGGCUAGUACUACAAAUUCUCAACCCAGCAGGCCAUCAACGGAACGGUCCUUAAUCAACACAGUCGGAGACACUACUUUAAGACUCCAUUCUUAAAGCAAGUCCACUGACCGGUUUCAAAUUGCAACAUCAUUGAUCACAAGUGUAUCCCACAACAACCCUUCAAACUUUCUUGUUUAAAAACCUAUCUAGUAGCAGGGCUAAGCAUCGCUACGCAGUUUUAAAAUAAAACAGGUGUCAAGGACAGGAUAACAGAUAUCAAGGUAGUAAAUGCAGCAAGUAGGUUAACCCAAUUCUCAACUAUCUAAUGCAGCAUUUUCAAUUCAUAUGUGAUAAAAGAUUUAAAACAUCCAAGGAGGGGUUAAUGCAUCCGGGGCUUGCCUUGGUUGCAGGGCAGAGAGGGACCCUCGGAGACUUCCCAAGUCUCGGAUCCGACUUCCUCGAAUGGAGCACCGACCUCGGGGUUCGGUUCAACGGGCGCUCCUUCGGUCACGGACACUAUACGCAAAAUGAUGAAUGCUCAUGAUAUGCGUAUGACACAUAUGCAAGAAGGACUAGAUCGAGCACAGUUUGCCUUCUCGGUGCAAUACAGAAUAAAUUAUAAAUAAAGUUGUUUAACACCUUAGCAUCUUUAUUCAAGAGGUUACAACAGUAAACUAAGACUUUACUUACUUCUCAAUUAUCUUAAAUUAAUUAAUUAUUAACUCUAUUUAUCUUAAUUAAUUCUUAAUUAAUUACUAAUGACAUUAAUUAAGUAUUAGAAUCAGACAAUAAUUAAGUGCCAGGGGUCAUUAGGGUUAAUGACCUCAGGUCAUCACUAAAUUCCAAAAUCACUCAAUCCUGAGUAUGAUGAUUUAACUAAUCACCUUCUAAUUAUUUUGGAAUUAUUAUUUAAGUGCUAAUUAGGGGUUUAUUAAUAUUUUAAUCAAACAUCAUCCAAAUAUCAUCAAAAUUUGUGGGGGGCCAGGGAAUAAUAUUCAGAGGCUCUCCACCAAUUUUGGUGAUUUUUGGACAUACCAUUAAGUUAUUAAAAAUCAUACAAGUUUCAUUUAGUAAUUAAAGGAGCCAAUUUUUAUAUUCUUACAAAGUAUCAGAAACUAGAGCCUAAUAUUUUUCCUGGUUUCUAAGUAUUUCAGGGAGUCUACCCAAAAUUUGCCCUGAUUUUUGGAUCAACACACAAAUUUUUACACAAAUUCAAACUUUCAGCAUGUUUAAACAAAAGGGAAAAAGGAAAAAGGCACUGUGCUACCGGCGGCCCGCUCGGAUCCGGCCCAAGUUGGCCUGCGGUGUCCUCCCGCGCGGACCGCGCGCGCCGCCCCCUCUUCACGCGCUGCGAGACGCUGACAGGCGGAACCCGCUUGUCAGCUCCGCCUUGCUCACUCACGGCGGCGCUGCCGCCGCUCCGGCGACUGUUAUGGAGUUCCCCGGCCCCCGCGCGCGUGCGCACCGGCACCGCGUCAACUUCGCGAUCCCACGGACACCCUCUAAACACGCUCUACUCUCCCGCUACCCCCUUGGUCACGCAAGAGGCGGGCGGCCGCCAUGGCCGACCCUCGGCCGGCCGCUAGAGACCGGUAGAGUGCAAAAGGACGGAACCGGGAGCUUCAGGGAGGGUUAGGGAGUACGGUGCUCACGUCACCACGGCGGGAGAAGCAGUAGGAAGCGCUGGCGUCGUUGGCCGAGGAAUCGGGCGGGUGCUCCGGCUCCGGCAAGGCUGUUCCGGCAAUCCUGUUCGUGUCCCGUGAGAAAAAGUGAGCGCAUGAGCAUCAGGGAAACAAGAGGAGUGCGAAACGAUCACUGGUAAGGCGUGGUACCGAGUGGAGCAAUGUACCCACGCGAAGGGUUCCACGGCGGCGAUGCCGGCCGGACUCAGGGAAGAAGAAGAAGCGUUGGCGUUUGAGGGAGUUAGAGAGGGAGCUUGGGGGCGCACUGGAUUCGCAGGAAGGUGACGAAGACACUGGGUGGCUCAAUUUGGCUCGGGAAGGAGUGGUUGUGACGAAUUUGGAAGAGAGAGGUCGUCGGUUUCCUUGGCUCAGGACGGAGGGGAUGCACGGUGUCGUCCACGUCGGUGCGCAAGUGGAGAGGAAGGCGAGCCCGCGGCAUCCACGUCGCCUGGCGACCCUGACAGCAAGCAGCUGCGUGCACGCACGCAUGCGCGCGGCGCUGCUCGCACGGCGGGUGCGCUGGACAGGGCGCCGGUGAUCCAUAUCGGAUCACUGUAGCGACCUCUAUCCCCCCUCCUCUGUCUUUUGCAAAAUUCAGCCGAAAUUUGAACUGGGACCAAAUUUGUGUCAAAACAAAAGUUGUUCCAAAUUUUAUAAGCUACAAAACUUAUUUAGGUGACCCAAGCUGAUUCUAAGUGGGAAGAGGUCAAUUUGGCCAGACAGUUUGAAAAUCAAACUCAAAUUGCUGAAAUUCAAAUUUUUGAAUUGGGGAUAAAUCAGAGAUUCCAAAAUUACUUUUGAUUUUGUAUAACAACUUGAAAAACUCCCAACAUGAAAGUUGUUCAACUUUUUGUGCUCUACAACUUUCAUGUUGACCACUUUUCAAAAUUCCAAAUGGAUUUUGAAUUGGGGGUUUAAGUUGGAAAAGGGGACACUUUCUGGAAAUCUGCAUUUUCAAAAUUACUUUGAAUUUUGUAUUGAAACUUCAAAAACUCAAAACACCAAAGUUGUACAUCUUGCCAAGAUCUACAACUUUGCUUUUGAACUCAACCUCAAAUUUUGCUUAAUUUUUGAAUUGCACAAAAGGGGGCAGUUCUAGGGUUCAAAAUCAGGGUUUUCCCCCCCUUAGCCUAUCGGAAAACUUCCACCCUAGGGUUUUAGCAAUCACACAAGCAACAACACAUCACAGAAGCACACUCUACUUCCCUAAGCUCAAGCAUUCAAAAUAAACUUAUUUUAAGUUGAUGCAUACUAAUGUGCUUUAACCAAUAUGAUUUGCAAUGCUCAUGAUGACAUGAUCCAUUUUUAGUAACCGUAACAUCAGGGAUGUUACACCUUAUAUAGUCUGGAGGGCAGGGUUACAGAUCUAGAAACUAAUCCUAGUCGGUUACAAUUGCCAUAGAUAAUUCGAUAUCAAUUCCUAUUCCAACCGACUAGAAUCCUGCUUGAUCUCCACGUCUUGUUUCCUUGCGCGAAACUCCGAGCUGUCGGAUCAAGCCUUGAACUCGUCUCGUAGUGAGCCAAGCUUCCUGGCUGAAGUCUAGCCGUAAGGGUAUAGGGGUUUAUACCCCCACAGCUAGUCCCCGAGCACCACGUAUUGUGAUGCAACACGCCGUCUUGAGCUUCUUCGAUCAGCGAGGCUUGUCAUCUUCAAUAAGCGGGAAAAUCGCCCAAACAGUUGCAACGGUUCCUUGACCAACUCGAAAGACAGUUGAUCAACAUUGACAUCGAAGAAGCAGGUUGUUCGAAGAAUGCAUGGUGCUCUAAAAAAAAAAUUUCUUUCCUGGUGAAGUGUGCCCACUUUGCCUUUUUGAAAGGUAGAAUCAUCAAAAAACCAAGCAAAUUCACCGCUAGGUGAAGUGUGCCCACUUAGUCCCCGAGCCUGGUAGUAGGUGGCGUAGGCACGUGGUGCCAGGGUCAAAAGAAAAUUCCCCAAAGUAGUUUUGAGACUGAGAUGCAUCGCUAGAUGCAUCGUACCGAUGUAGUCCCCGAGCUUGCUGGAAGGCGAAGCAUGAGCCUUGUAGCAAGGUCUAAAAAAUUGAAUUUACCAGUCCCCGAGCAUGUCAUGCUCGUCUGCAAUUGAAAAGACCAAUCGACCAGUCCCCAAGCACUUAGUGUGCUUCUUGGAAUUAUAUGUUGCUAUAUUGUACGACCAGUCCCCGAGCAUCGAGUGCUCAGUGGUCGGUGCAUGCUUUAAAGCUUUGAGCCGAUAGACUGAGCGACCAGUCCCCGAGCGUCGAGUGCUCGGUGGUCGGUGCAGUCCUUGAAGUUCUGAGUUGGUAGACUGGGCAACCAGUCCCCGAGCGUCGAGUGCUCGGUGGUCGGUGCAGUCCUUGAAGUUCCGAGCUGAUAGACUGGGCGACCAGUCCCCGAGCGUCGAGUGCUCGGUGGUCGGUGCAAUCCUUGAAGUUCCGAGCUGAUAGACUGGGCGACCAGUCCCCGAGCGUCGAGUGCUCGGUGGUCGGUGCAGUCCUUGAAGUUCCGAGCUGAUAGACUGGGCGACCAGUCCCCGAGCGUCGAGUGCUCGGUGGUCAGUGUAGUCCCCGGAUUGUUGACUCACCGGCGUAUGUAUCUUCUUACUUUUGAAAAAGAUCUUUCCAAUUAAAGUUGACGUGACGGGGUCUCCUGACGAUAUGUCAGACGGAUGCAUGAAAAGUUGCACCUGGCAACUGUACAACCUCUCUUUGCAUGGUUUGAGAAAAGGAAACCAUCAAUUGGUACGAAAACUCCGCCGCAUUAAUUGUCUAUAAUCAUUGUAAACCAAAACGCCGCGUCCGCCGCAUGGCCUGCCCACUUCCCGAGAAUACAGGAAGUGGGAGAGGUGGGGUCGCAGGUUUAUAAGGGCCUAAUAGGUCUGCCUGUACUGCUUCGCCUGCCAUUGCCUUCAAACCUUCCGCUCUCAUCUUCUCCAAUCUCCUGCAUCUUCCUAACUCCAGCCCACAUUCGCACCUCUAAUGGCGAAGAGCGACUCCAGGAAGAGGGCCGAACUGAUGGCCAAGGAGUGGAAGAAGUCUCGCAGCACCACAAAAUCUCUUGGUGACCUCGUCGAUAUGGGGCUUCUGCACGGCGCAGAGCUCGGCGGCUGGAGGGCACCGGAGGGGGAGAGCUACCCCGACCCUCGCGCCGGUGAGAUCGUCGUUUUUGAAGAUUUCGUUAAGAGAGGCUUUGGCGUUCCUGUUCAUCCUUUUCUUCAAGGUCUUCUUUUGUACUAUGAGAUCGGGAUUUGCAAUCUGCACCCGAACUCAAUUCUCCUUAUUUCCACCUUCAUCCACCUGUGCGAGGCCUAUGUUGGCAUAGAGCCGCACUUCGAUCUUUUCCGUUAUCUUUUCUGCUUGAGGAAGAAGGGAGCAGUUGGAGGCUCCAAGGUUGCAGGUGGAGUAUACCUCAACCUUCGUGAUGGGAUGAAGAAUCGCUACCUGCACUGCCCAUGGAACACUUCCUUGACCGAAUGGUACAGGAAGUGGUUCUACAUCAGGGAGGAACCGGGCAGCUCCACGUUCUGCGACGUGGGAUACGUUCCCGAGAAGAGGGCGAGCUGGACCGACCGUCCGGAGUUCGACGGUCCAGUGGCGGAUCUCAUGAAGCUGAUCGACUGGUCGCGCCUAGACGGGCUUGGCGUGGUCGGCAACUUCAUUUGCCGCCGGGUGAUGCCCUGCCAGAAGAGGGUGCACUCGGCGUACGAGUAUGCCGGAAGCGCAGACCCGACCAGGAUGCGGUCGGAGAUCUUGGAGAAAGCGGAGGUACAACAGCUGUUGAACGAGCUGUUUAACUUCGCGGAUGGGGGCUUCAUCCGUGGCAGUGAUCGGGUGCAAGCCUUCAAGUUAGGACGACCAGCACCAAAGGUAUGUAGCAGAGUCUGUUUGAUCAUUCGUAUAUAUCGUCUGCAGUUAACUCAUCUCUGUUGCUUUUGCAGGUCGGUGAUGUCGACCGGUGCGCAGUGUAUGUAUCACUGGCACCGGGGAUGGAAGAUCCUGUGGGAGAGGUCCCGCCAGAGGAGGACGCUGCUCGGUGUACUCAUUACACCAGCAGUGAGGAAGACCGAGCCUGCCCCGUCCCGACCUCCGAGGAGAGGGUAGCGGGGGAAAGGCCAUUGCCGGCAGAUCCCUUGCCGACACCGGAGCUGCCGGCGGAUCUACCGGCGGAGAGCAGCCAAGCACCGAAGUGUCGUCGGCUCGUGCGGAUCGUCGACGACGACGACGACGAGGACGCUGCGCCGUCGUUGGUCCGACGGCCUCGGAGCCGCCCAGACACUGCGCCGGUCGCCACUGAUCGAGUGGCCAGCGGCGCAGCUGCCCCGCAAGUUGUCGAGACGGGGGCACAGGUGCCGACCGGCCGGGCGAGGAGGAGGUUCACCGCGACCCACCGUCGGUCAGACCUGUAAGUGUUCGACUUACGUAUUUUGGACUCCUCUCUUUUUUUUAACUUUUGUUCCUGUAGUGCGGCAUCGGAUGUCGACCCUGGUCAAACUGCCAGUCAGGGAACGGGCGAGCCUGCCCGCGGUUCUGGGGAUGCGGCCCCCCAGACCACAGAGCAGCCAACAGCUGCAGUCGCGCCUGGGAGCACCGAGGGGCUCCCGAGCGCGGCGCCGACUACAACAAGCAGCCCGACCAGGGCUGGAGAGGCUUCCCCAACUGACUCCUCGGAGAAGGGAAGAUCUCCGACCGCUCCUCCUGCCGAGGGGAGUGAAGUCCCCCCACCGCCCCGAGCAGGGGGCUCUUCGGCUGCGGGCUCCCCGGGUCUGGUCCAAGGGCCAGUAAUGCCUGGGGCCACCACCGGGGGUGACGCAGCACAGGAGGAGGAAACCCGGGCGGCCUCCGAUGACGAGGUGGAGGAGAUCGAGGGUCGUCCCCGUGAUGGCCGCCAACACGUGUAUGUGUGGCGCCAACGCGGGGAUCACUUUAUCGGUCAUGAGGAGCUCGCCGAGACCGAAGAGGCCGCCAGGGUGGAGCGCGCGGCCAAGCGCCUUGUCGACGAAGUCAAGGUAAGCGGCUUUUUGUACUGCUGCGCAUUCUUUUGCCUUGUCUUGCUUGAUCGUUAUAUGCUUGCUUUGUAGGACGUAAUGAAAACGGCGAAGUACCGGAAACGGUGCUUUGACCAGAUAGAAGGCGUCAUGGCCGAGAACAAGGCCCUUGCCGCGGAGGUAGACCGGUUGCGGGCGGAGGUCGGGGAGAAGGUGGUCGAGAUGAGUGCCGAAAAGGAGCGUCGUCUCGACCUCGCUCGUCGUCUGGCCGACCAGUACCGGCUGCAGGAAGGUUAGUCACACGCUCCGAGCAGUUUCGCGUACUUGUAUAGUUUGCUUUGCUGACCAGUUUAGGAUUCACACAGACUUGGAGGAGGAGGUGGCGAGCCUCCAACAAGAGAAGGAGCAGCUCAGCCAACAGCUCGCCGGUGCGCAGGAGUCCGGGCGGCGGGCAGAAGAGGAAUUGGGUCGAAAAGACCGGGAGUUAGCUGGUAAUGGGUGCCGCCUUGUUGAUUGCUGCCUGCCCCUUUGCUUGUCUGAUAUGCCAAAAGUAACGUUUCGUUUCGUUUGCAGUGCUCAAGGUGAACACCAAAAAGAACCUGGAUGACCUGAUCAAGGACCGGGACUCCUGGAAGGCCAACUGUUGCAGGAUCUGGAAAGGAGUGUCCCCGGUCCUAGACCUGAUCAGUCCCGAGCUCCCGGAGAGCCAGCCCCGCGCGCCGCAGUUGACCCCGGUCGAGAAGGCGCAACGGGCGUGGGACUGGCUCCAGCAGUUUGUGAAGGACGCCGGGGAGUUUGCCGGCGCGCACGUCCUCAGCAUGGUGCGCGCCCACUACCCCCUGGUCGACUUGAGCAGGCUGGAGAAGGGGUACCCGAAGGAAGUCGGCCCACAGGAAGCGGACGAACUUCGGGGUAAUCUGCUGGACUUGUCGUCGACGGUGAUCGGCGACAUCAAUCUGUGCGGAACGGCCACUCCUCCAGACCAGCCGAGCUCAGAUAGGUCGGCCAGGGAGUUGUCGGGCGCGUCCGUUGCGGGAGAUGGGCGGUCGACGCCUGCGGUCUCGACCAGCCAGGCGCCGGUGGCCCCGACCCCUUCGUCCGGGCAGCAGGGCCAGGCGGGUGAUCAGUCCGAGCGGCUAGGCCAAUAAAGUAGUCUGUAGGAAUAGACUAGUGUUUGCCCGUCAGGGGAUUUAUUGUAAACUUUGUAUGGAAAGUUUGUAAUAAAGUUUGCUUUUUGUCAUGACUGUUAUUUUGAGCGCUGUAAGAAUAUCUGAGUGACGUGUCACCGCAUUUGUCUUGGUUGUCGAUAAGAGCAUCCGUUGCAGGAGUUUUGCCAAGUGCUGUGUGUGACAAGGUAUGGGCCAAAAAUAGAGAAUUUCAUUAUCAAAAAUUAUAAGAUACUUACAAAAGAAAGUCAUUGAAACUUUAUGGAUAGAAACGUCGCAGUUUGUCGAUGUGCCAAGAGUUAGGCACUCGUGUUCCGUCUGGGUAUGCCAAUCUGUAGGACGUAGGUCGUGUGACCUCGGUCACCACGAAGGGUCCUUCCCAGGGGGUGGAUAGCUUGUGCAUUCCCUCCUGGCUUGUUUUCCAUCGAAGCACCAGAUCGCCGACCACGAAGGAACGGUCCUUGACAUUCCUGUUGUAGUAUCGCCUGACUGCUGCGAGAUAUUUUGCUGUUCGGAGACACGAAACUAAGCGCUUUUCCUCCAUGCAAUUGAUUUCGAGUUCUCUGGCGUUGUCGGCGGUCGCCUGGUCGAAAUGCUCGAUUCUAGGAGAUCCGAAGUGUAUGUCAGACGGCAAGACCGCCUCUGCACCGUACACCAUGAAGUAGGGAGACACCCCUGUGUUUCGACUGGUCUGAGUUCGGAGGCCCCAGACCACUGCCGGCAAUUCUUUCAUCCAGCGACCGGGUGCUCUGUCGUUUUCGGUGUACAGCCUUUUCUUUAGGGCGUCGACGAUCAUUCCAUUAGCACGUUCAACUUGACCGUUGGCACGUGGAUGUGCCACUGACACAUAUUUUAUGACUAUGCCUCUGUCAUCGCAGAAAUCCCAAAAAGUGGUGCCAGUAAACUGAGUGCCCAGGUCGGUGAUUAUGCUGUUCGAGAUGCCGAAUCUGUGUAUGAUUUGAUUGAGGAACUCCACAGCCUUCUCGGAGGUUGCCUUGACCAGGGGCAUGUAUUCAAUCCACUUGGAGAACUUGUCGAUUAACACGAAGACAAACUUGAAGUUGCCCGGGGCUGGUUUAAAUGGUCCGAUCAUGUCAAGCCCCCAGCAAGCAAAGGGCCAAGACGACGGGAUGGUUUGAAUUUCAUGGGCAGGUACAUGGGUCCUCUUAGCGAAAAACUGACAUCCUUCGCAAUGCCGAACCAGUUUUUCUGCGUCGCCGACCGCGGUUGGCCAGUAAAAACCUGCUCGGAAAGCCUUUCCGACCAGCGUUCUAGAUGCGGCGUGGUUGCCGCAGGAUCCAGCGUGUAUGUCCUCCAAGAGCUUGAUACCAUCAUCUUGGGGUAUGCACUUGAGAAGUACUUCGGAGCUUGCGUUUUUCCGCAUGAGUUUCCCGUCGACCAGGAUGUAGUUCUUUGAUCGUCGGAUAAGGCGCUCGUUCUCUGUUUUGUCCUGAAAACCUGUCCCGUCUGAUAUGUAUUUGAUGAACGGGGUACGCCAGUCACGCCCACCGGUUGUCGGAGUGGCGUCGUCUAUGAGCAUUGCCUCGGUGGGUUGCUUGUCGACCAGGGGGGAGCCUACGCUCCGCUCAUGGAUGUCCUGGACGAAAAUACCCCGCGGGAUUUGGGCCCGAGAGGAGCCUAACUUUGACAACGCAUCUGCUGCUUGGUUCUUAUCCCGGACCACGUGGAUGUACUCUAUGCCAUAGAAGUUAGUUUCCCAUUUGCGAAUUUCUUUGCAGUAGAGAUCCAUCUUCUCGUGGGUUGCGUCCCACUCCUUGUUGAGCUGGUUGAUGACCAAAGCGGAGUCGCCGUAGACAUAGAGGCGCUUGACCCCCAGUUCAACGGCUAGUCGUAUGCCAUGCAAGCAUGCUUCGUAUUCGGCGACGUUGUUUGACGCCGGAAAAAGGAUCCGAAGGACGUAACGGAGUUUGUCCUUGUUGGGUGAUACGAACAAUAUCCCAGCGCCUGCACCGUUGAUGUUCAAGGACCCAUCAAAGAACAUUGACCAGUGGUCUGAGACAUCUGGAACGGAAGGCUCGUUGAGAUCCGUCCAUUCGGCAAUGAAAUCGACCAGGGCUUGAGACUUGACAGUGGUGCGACUCUGGAAUUCCAGGGAAAAUGGACAUAGUUCCAUUGCCCAUUUCACGAUUCUGCCAUCGGCGUCUUUAUUGCGCAGGAUGUCCCCGAGAGGAAAGCUGGUUGUCACCAGGACUCGAUGGCCGUCGAAGUAGUGCUUCAGCUUUCUUGACGUUAUCAGGAUGGCGUAUAUAAGCUUCUGUAUUUGUGGGUAUCUGGCCUUGGAUUCGUUUAAAACUUCGCUUAUGAAGUAAACGGGUCUCUGGACCUUGAAGACGUGACCUGGUUCAUCUCGCUCGACCACUAUUGCCGUGGAAACAACCCUGUCGGUUGCAGCAAUGUACAGGAGUAGGUCUUCAUUGGGCUGAGGCGCUGUGAGGACAGGCGGUGAGGUGAGGAAGGUCUUAAGCUGAGUGAACGCAGCGUCGGCUUCCUCUGUCCAAGAGAAUUUUUCUGACGCUUUCAAUAGUUUGAAGAAGGGGAGGCCUUUUUCUCCCAGCCUUGAGAUGAAACGACUGAGGGCGGCCAUGCAUCCGGUUAGCUUCUGAAUAUCCUUGACGUUCUUCGGUGGUCGCAUAUCGAGUACGGCCUUGACUUUUGCAGGGUUUGGUCGUAUGCCGUCGCGACUGACGACGUUGCCGAGCAGUAGACCGGAAGGAACGCCGAAAAUACAUUUCUUGGGGUUGAGCUUCCACUUGUACCUAUUGAGUGCCUUAAAGGUUCGGUCUAAGUUGUCGAUUAGGGUGCUCGCGUCUCUUGUUUUUACGACCACGUCGUCCACAUAGGCCUCGACGAGGUCAUCGCGAAUCUCGUCGUGGAGGCAUUGCUGGAUGGCCCUUUGAUAAGUGGCCCCGGCGUUUUUAAGUCCGAAAGACAUGGUAGUGUAACAGUAUGCGCCGAAGGGUGUGAUGAAGGAUGUUUUGAUCUGAUCUUCUUCCUUUAACGAGAUCUGGUGAUAACCAGAGUAGCAAUCUAGAAAGGAGAGGAGUUCGCAUCCGGCCGUUGAGUCGACCACCUCGUCGAUGCGAGGAAGACCAAAAGGAUCUUUAGGACAGUGUUUGUUGAGAUCGGUGUAAUCAACGCACAUUCUCCAUUCAUUAUUCUUUUUGCGUACAAGAACCGGAUUGGCGAGCCAAUCGGGAUGAUACACUUCUUUUAUGAAUCCGGCUGCUAGAAGCCGUGUUAUUUCUGUCCUAAUAGCCUCCUUUUUGUCACGAGCGAACCGUCGUAGUUUUUUCUUGAUUGGUCUUGCGGUCUUCGAGACGUUUAAGGAGUGCUCGAUCAGGUUUCGUGGGACACCGGGCAUGUCUGCGGGUUUCCAUGCGAAAACGCUCACGUUGUCCCUUAGAAACCUGACGAGCGCGUCUUCCUAUUUUGGAUCCAGGUUAGCCCCGAUGAGGGCUGUCUUCUCGGGGUUGCCUUCGACCAGCUGCACUUCUUUGUACUCCCUGGAUUUCGAAUUCUUUCUGGCUGUCUCCUGCUCAGGUAAUCGGAGCUGGUCGGGAGGCAGCUGUGCGGCUUGGUUUGCUGUUUCCGCCAUGCGGAUUGAGAGGUCGAUUGCCUCGGUGAUCUUGAAGCUUUCUUCUUCGCAGGUGUACGCGGUGUAGACAUUGCCUCUGACGGUUAGGACACCCUUCUCCGUGGGCAUUUUAAGGACUAGGUAUGAGUAGUGCGGGACUGCCAUGAACUUUGUCAGCGAUGGGCGGCCCAGUAUGGCGUGGUAGGUCCCGUCGAAGUCCGCGACUACGAAGUUGAUGAACUCAGUCCGGAAGUGAUCGGGUGUGCCGAAUUGGACAGGCAAUGUUAUCUGUCCGAGGGGCACCGAACUUUGACCUCGCAAAACCCCCCAGAAUUGGGCGUCGUAAGGUUUUAGUUGCGCCGGUGAUAUCUUGAGGGCGGGCAGGCUGUUGCGGAAGAGGAUGUCGAUGGAGCUUCCCCCGUCCACGAGCACGCGCUCGAAUCUGAUGCUAUUGAUGCAGGGAUCAAGAAUCAGUGGGAAACGACCCGGCUCUGGGAUAGCGGCCCACUGGUCCUUCCUGCUGAACGAGAUCUCCCUGUGGGACCACGCGGGAAAUUUCGGAUCUGCGAUCAGCCCGUCCGUGCUGUCUAUGUUGAGGCAGGCUCUCUUUAGCAGCUUUCUUUCUCGCUUGGACUCAGUGGAGACCUUGCCCCCGAAAAUGGAAUGGACCACGUCGGUGGGGCUGACGUAUUGGUGUCGGGGGUCCCUGUCUUGGUCCUCAUCCUCAUCUUCGUGGUCGUGCCCGUCGCGCUUGUUAUUUUUCUUGGCGGAGUCCUCUUGGGCGGCCCGCCGUGUAUAGAUACUUUUGAGGACGCGGCACUCUUCCAUGGUAUGGUUAGACUUUGGGUGUAGCUGGCACGGUCCCUUCAACGUUUUGUUGUAGUCGUCUUGGUAGUCCCGUCGUCCGUUGGGACGUUUGACCGUAUUCACUUCGUGGUCGUAUUCGCGAGGGCGCUUUCCUCUGAAGUCGUCGCGGCUGUCGCGCCGCCGAUCCCAACCUUCUCGGUGAUCGCGGUUGUCGGAGCGGCGGUGAUUUCUGUUGUCGUAGCGACCACGACCGUCAUCUCGCCGGGAGGGCUGGUCGGGGCCUCUCGCAUCGUCUCGGAUUAGUUUUUCUGCGUCAUCAGCAUCGGCGUAAUUUUUAGCCGUGGCGAGGAGCUCUGCUACCGUUGAUGGGCGCUUACGCAACAGCUUGUUCCUCAGCGCUUCAUGGAAACGCAAGCCCUUGAUAAAGGCUGAUAUGGCCUCGUCAUGAGAAAUCUUCGGGAUUUUGAGGCGCAUAUCCGAGAAUCGUCGGAUGUAAUCGCGCAGAGGUUCAUUCUUCCUAUCUCUUAUCCUUUCAAGGUCAUACUUGUUUCCGGGCUGCUCGCAUGUGGCGAUGAAGUUGUCGAUGAAAGCCUGUCGUAGCUCUUCCCAAGAGUCGAAGGAGUCCUCGGGCAAGCCGAGAAGCCACUGAUGACCAGCCUGGUCGAGGACUACGGGGAAGUAGUUAGCCAUGACGUGCUCAUCUCCUGCCGCUGAUCGGACGGCGAUUUCGUAGAGAGUGAUCCAGUUCUCUGGAUUUUCCUUGCCGUCGUAUUUUUUAAGUUUUUCGAGCUUGAAAUUGCGGGGCCACACGACCUGGCGGAGGUGUGAGGAGAACUGCCUUAGGCCCGGAGGACCGUGGGUCGCAUCGUACUCGAUGCGGCGCAGGUUUUCGUGGACUGCUCUCUCUGCGGCGCGCCUGUUGAUGCGGUCCCGGGCAUCUUUGGGAGGGAUGUUGUGGCGGAGAUCCCUGUGUUGAUCUUCUUCUUCUUGGCCGCGUACGCGGUUCUGUUGGCGGCGGCCAUCGGCGUCCCGACCACCAUCGUUGCGCCGUGAGUCCCCUCGACGGUUGUCGGGGGAGCGGCUGCGGCGACGCCCGCUGGGUGAGGCCCGACUACGAUUAGUCUGGUCGGAGGCGGCUUCCGUAUAAGAGACGUCCUGGACUCUCUUGAGCAGAGUGGCUGUCUGUCCCAUUGCGGCGAUCAGGUGUGCUCGGAUACUGGUCCGGACUCCCUGGCAUUCGGGGGUGUCAGGAAGCCGAUCCAGGUUGGCCAUGGCGACAGCCACGUUGGCGCUUGGUGUUUUGUAGACCGGCUGGUCCCCGACCAUGUCAAAGGCAUCGUUGAGGUUACUUGGCGGCAUCUGUUGUUGUUCGUCCGCACGCCGUCGGGCGCGAUCGGCGUUACGCUGUUCACGGAGUUGCCUCUGGUCGUCUGUUUCUCCGUCAACAGCCGGUUCGUCGGCGCUGACAUUGAACACAAUAUCCCCUCGCCGGGGGGGGGGAAUAUCGGGAAUCGGUCGAAACCCGGAGGGUGUGAAGGAAAAUCUAGGUCGUAGCCCUCGUCCUCGGUGUUUAUAACCUCGGUGGGGACGGAGCCGGUGCUUGAGUUGGUGCUGGAAACCUGGCCGUCCCGUAGCUCUCGGAUUGUCACCAUGUUGACAUGGUGACGAUUGUUCCUUGUCGGCGACCAGCCCGCUUUGCUGAAAACGGAUUGGACAUGUUGUGAGUAAACAGAGGCCGAGUUGUUCAGGCCGCAAGGAUAGUCUUCCUUUUUGAGCUCGACGGAUCGUCCUGAGGGGGUUGAGGUUAUCGUCAGGGACGUUCCCAGCCGUUCGUGUGUGGUGACACGAGUUGGCCGGCGGGAUUUCGAAAAAUCCGCUCGAGCAGCUUGGUCGGGUCGGCGCAGAACUCCAUCUAUUAGUUGGGAGACUUCGAGUAGCUUGGAGUCAGCGCGAUCGAGCGCUUGGAGGAGGUCCGAGCAGUCGAUCUCCUUUCCCUUGUAGAGUGGGAACGGUGGUCGGGAGCUUGGUGCCGUCAUGCGUGUGGUCGGAGACGGCGUAAUCUCAGAUUGGAUCUGGAUCUCUUUCGGAACCGUGGUCGCGAAGCCGCCGCUGCACGUCGUCCACGUGAUCUGGCCGACGGUGAACGUGAGGCCCUCGGGCACGGUCGCGGAAGCUGGGAUCGUGACCAUCUCGUUCGCCAGAGAAGUUGCACGCACACCCCCUACCUGGCGCGCCACUGUCGACGAAAGCUAGUCGGCAGUCUACCUUGGGGUAUACCCACGGUAGUAGUUUAUCGGUAGACGGUGCGCAAACUACGAACUUGAUGGUGACGCAAGACACGGACAAGCUUUUUAUCCAGGUUCGGCCGCCGAGUUGGCGUAAUACCUACGUCCUGCGUCUGGUUGUAUUGAUUUGCGCUGAGAGAAUAUGAUGUCCUAGGGGGGUCCCUUGCCCCUCCUUAUAUAGUCUGGAGGGCAGGGUUACAGAUCUAGAAACUAAUCCUAGUCGGUUACAAUUGCCAUAGAUAAUUCGAUAUCAAUUCCUAUUCCAACCGACUAGAAUCCUGCUUGAUCUCCACGUCUUGUUUCCUUGCGCGAAACUCCGAGCUGUCGGAUCAAGCCUUGAACUCGUCUCGUAGUGAGCCAAGCUUCCUGGCUGAAGUCUAGCCGUAAGGGUAUAGGGGUUUAUACCCCCACAUAUUCUCUGUCCCGUGCUAGGAAGCAUUACUCCUCUUUUCAUUCCAAAUUCUUCAAUAAGACCGAUACGAUUGAUUGGUCUGUGCGUUUCUCUUAUUACUUUUUUGUAUCCCCCUGUUCCUCGGAUACAAUUCGAUCCUUCUACGGCCAAUUCUCAAUUUGUGGAAAGCCUUCGAUGGCUUCCUUAUGAAAACAUCCAUUUGUAUAUGGGUAUAGACGGUCUUUCAUUAUUCUUCGUGAUAUUGACCACAUUUCUGAUCCCUAUUUGCAUUUCAGUGGGUUGGUCUGGUAUGAGAAGUUUUGGGAAAGAGUAUAUUACAGCAUUUCUAAUUCGUGAAUUUCUAAUGAUCGCCGUGUCCUGCAUGCUGGAUCCUCUACUAUUCUAUGUUCUUUCCGAAAGCGUGCCAAUCCCUAUGUUGUGCGGAGCUGAGCAUCUUCUAUUCGCUGGGAUCAAGCUUUUCCUCUGCAGGGGCCUUGUGCAGUAAACCCCCUACGGGCGGUCCCCCGUCGUCGUAAAGUAGUAAAGGUCCCCGCGAAGCUUUCGGGAAGAGGGGUAGUCUUGUGUGUAAGCAUAGCAUUUCUGGUCGAACCACCGAACCACACAUCUUUUUUUGGUGGGAGGGUACUCCGAGUAGUGGGUACCUCGUAGGACCUCGACCCGCCUACUCAGGUCUUGUAUGGAUAUGCAGGAAGGGGUGCUCCUAGGUGUGUGUAGGGGGGUGUGUUUGUUCGCGAGAAUGGAUUCCUCGUCAAGUCAGGGGGGGUGUGGACACACUUGCGCGAAUUCGGGUAACGGCUACAAGGGAUAAAAAUAAAGGAAACUGUACCCGACCAGGGAUGGACGUAAACUCGUAAGCUACCGAGGGUAGGGAUAAUCGUCCAGGUCUUAUUGUUGUUUAAAGCCGCCCCGCCACAACAGGCAGGUUAGUUCCUCUGUCGUUGCCAGAGAGUUCUUGGCGAAGAGACCUUAGGAUAAGUUGCUAAAACAAACGGAGGGGAGGAUCGACCCGUUCAGUAGAAUUCCGAAGAAAGACUGUUGGCAGCAGGUGGAGACAUUUCUUUGGCCCCCUUCCAAAUAAAUGCGGGCAGGGUAGAGCUCGGCAGAGGGUUCGAGAAUAGGGUAGGGUCCUGUCCUAAUAAAGAAAAUCAAGGUAAAUAAAGGGGCGGGUCCCUUUAUGCAUGCAUCUUCGUACAAGUGGAGGCCGGAAAGAUCAAACCAAUAGAACCGCUCACAUCACAUUAGUCGUAGUUGCGUAAAGGCCGUCAGUCGGGGGGCGACCAUAACAUAAGGCAAUGACUUUCACGGAUCUCUCGAAAAGGGUUUCAAAAGGCUGUAGCUCAAGUAUGCAUGGAAUAGAACAGGGUUAUCCGCUUUAUUAUCUGGCUUAUCUGCUUGAGAAAAGUGAACUCUUAGCUUUAAACCUACUUUGUCUUUGUAUCUUAGCCCUUCUAGCUCUAGCUUAGGGGCCCUUUCCUAGCUUAUUCAACUCUUUCUUCGGCAGGAUCGAAUGAGGAUGAUGGGGGAUGCUUUUUUCAACUAAACAGCGUUCAUCUGCUUGCUUUUCAUUUUAUGCGUUGGAACGGAACCUAGUCCGUAGUAAAUAGAGGUGGAGCAAAGGCAAGGUAGCUGAUAAAGAAAGGUGAGUACGUGCGAGGCGCGAGCCCUUAAAGAAGCUUUGAGCGAAGGUGUAGUCCGUAAGGAGGAAGUUUCUAAGGGGCUCCAUCUAAAGGGGAGUGUUCAAUUCGAACACAAACUGUCAAACAGUGAAGUUUCUCGAAUGGAUCUUAUUCCGGUAGUAGGGGUUUUCCGAAGAGUGAACUCGUUGCGGGUAAUUCGUGUGUCGUGGGAGAUGUUGUUUCCGAGGUUGGGGUAGCGGAACAUCCAUAAAAAUCAGUACCAAAAUAAGAAUCUUCUCCAUCAUCAUCGAAAUUGAUCGAAUAAAUAUACCUAGCUUUCCAUUCCACUAAGUAGGCUAUAAAUUCACCUUCUCCCACCAAUCUCUAUCUUUCACAGCUUUAACCUUCUAUCUCUGUACUUGGUUUAGUCGUUCAUUUCCUAUUCAUAGAUUAUCGAGCGAUACAUAUGAAGAACACCUCCUUUUGGGAGCUACGGGUCUCAUAUCAGUAUCGAGUGUCCUUAGCCUUAAUCGGUAGGGACACAAGCGAAAAUCUAUCUCUUCUUUAUUUUAUUUAUUUAGAGCACAAUCCAGGAACAGGGAUUUGAGUUCCACAAUGACAGUAAGUAAGAAUUGGAGACCUAGCACAAAGAACCCAUUUUUCUUUCAGUUUCAUAUGAGAAUGUUGCUAAACAAGAGAGUAAAAACAGCCUUCUUAUUUGCUUUCGACCUCAAAGCAAAGAAGCCGCCUUGAAUGGUUGCUUUCAUUGCCUACGAUAUUCCCUGGGUACGAGUCGGUGACGUUCUUGAUCUUUUUUCUUUCCCCUCGCCUCUGUAAGGAGUGAUUUGUUUGGACAAAGCUUCCAUCCAACUGAACGAGUCACUCUCCCGAGCCUCCUCUUUAUUCAGAAAUGAAAGCAAGCCAUCUGAUCUAACCUUAGGAAGUCGGUGUGGAUUGACUAUAACUAACCAAAGCGAGUGAGUGGGAUCUCAUUGGUAGCCUAGCCUGGGAGAAGCAGGGCAGCGCGUCGUGUUCUGAUUCCUUCACCGCCACUGAGAACAUGCCGUAUCAGGUAAUCGCUGCUGUCAUGAGUUGACACUGCAAGUAUGGUUUAACUAGUUGGAGGAUAAAUUUAGGGAAACACUAUUAAACAACAGGAAAAAUUGCUGUGCAUCUUUGGAACAGAAAAUUAAGAACAACUGGCGCCACAUUUCAAAGAAUUGAUAUGGUUUGGCUACUCAAUUUCAUCAUAAUUUUCAGAUACAUUGAACCAGACCUUAACAACUACCAGCCGUUGCUUGAAACGAUACAUUUUUUCAUCAGAUUGACUCUUCAGGACAGCAAGAGGAUAAAAUUACUCUUAUAUUUAUUUGAUCUAGAAGAAAAUACUGUAGGUUCAACUAGCAACCUAUCAUUUACCUAAAGAUAAGCCCUGAAGUUUUCAUAGAAUGAAUCAGAGCAGAAUAGUUCAACUAGUAACCAAGAAAUGUUAGGAUAGCAUUGGACUUUAGGACCAAUGUUGUGCAUCUUCAGAACUGAAACUUGAGAUAACACUGGUUCUGCCUUAUUUCCUUCGAUAAAGCAUUUCACUCUUCUAUAGAAAUCAAAUAUGAACAAUUGAUUCAGAUAGACUUUUAAUCAAAAAAGUUUUUCCAAUCUUCCAAAAUUGGACUUUUUCUUAUUUUAACCUUUUGAUUUCCAUAUUAAGGAUAGACUGACAAAGUUGGCCUAAUUUAUUAGUUUUCACUAACCCUAGAUUCUUUCCCUUGAUCAAAAAGAAAUUCUGUCCUCUCGAGCUCCAUCGUGUACUAUUUACUUUACUUACAAACAACCCAGCGCCGUAAAGAUAUGUGGCCAUGAAAAAGGGAGGGGAUUCAGUGGAACAGGAUUGGCCGGGCGGUAGAGUCGUGGAAACACUUGUUGAUUCCUAUUUUGGACCCUAGCUCCAUGGAACAAUAUGCUACUGCGGAAACAUGGAAGAAUUGCAAUCUUAGAUCAAAACACUAUGUAUGGGAUGAUAUGAACUGCCUAAAUAAGAAUUCUUGAGCGUCGAAUAACCUGAGUACUAACUACAUCAAACAAUUUGCAUUAAUGAAACUGUGUAAAUCCACCACGUUUUCCCAAAAGUCUUCGUAGACCUCUUUCCGAUGAAAAAUCUUUUUUGUGUAAUUCUAAAUGUGAAGCAAGUCUCCGUAUCUUAUUGGUGAAACUGAAUACUUGAAAUUCAACAGAACCCCUGUUUUCUUGUUUUUCUUCUUUAACCAUAAAUCAACAAAUUUUUCUACCUCCUUUCUUUUUCAUGUAUUUUUCUGAUCAGGAAAAAUAAAAAAUUAUGUCAGUUAUUUUUAAGUUAUUCUAAUCUCGUAUGGUACUCAUGGGAUGUGAUGCUUAUGCCAUGCUUGAUGAGGAUGCUUAUGAAUGAGUUUAUGUGUGAUGCUUAUGCCAUGCUUGAUGAGGAUGCUUAUGAAUGAGUUUAUGAGACUAAGUGCAUGCUUAACACCUAGGGUGUUACAACCCUUCCCCCCUUAGGGAAAUCUCGCCCCGAGAUUUGGGUUACUGACCAUUUCUUAUGAAAUUUUGGGUAAACUGUUUUUAGGUAGUCCUCGGUUUCCCAGGUGGCAUCCCUAUCGUCAUGAUGACUCCACACCACCUUAUAUGUUUUGACAACACUGUUUCGGGUUACCCGCUCCUUGGUAUCUACGAUACCCACUGGCUGCUUCUUAUAUUCUAAGUCUGCCUUUAUCUUGAUUCCUCGGGGUUCAAUCCUCUGCUCGGGUACUUUCAAACAUUUCUGUAACUGCGAUACAUGGAAGACUGGGAAGAUUGAACUCAACUCUUCAGGUAACUGAAUUUUGUAGGCCACAGGGCCUUUUCUUUCUAGUGUCUGAUACGGUCCCACAUAUCUGGGUGCAAGCUUGCUUCGAACUCGGAAACAUUGAACUUUCUUCAUUGGCGUAACCUUGAGGUAAACAUAGUCACCCACUUUAAACUCGAGUGGUCUUCUUCGCUUGUCUGCAUAGCUCUUUUGUCGCGAUUGUGCUGCCUUCAUAUGCUGUUGUAUGAUUUUCACCUUUUUCUCAGCCUCGUUAACGAAGUCGAUACCACAGUAUCUCCUUUCACCAGGUUCGACCUAGUUUAACGAAGUCCUACAUCUUCGGCCAUACAAAGCUUCGAACGGAGCCAUCUUGAUACUUUCUUGAUAGCUAUUAUUGUAUGAGAAUUCAGCCAAAGGUAACCAGGAUUCCCAUGAUCCCUUGGAUGAUAACACACAUGCCCUCAACAUAUCUUGAGCACUUGAUUGAGUGUUUCUGUUUGGUCUAAGGUUUGGGGAUGUUAUGCGGUGCUCCUUAUCAGACUGGUCCCCAAACUCCUAUGCAUUCGCGCCCAAAAGUGAGCGGUGAACUGUGGUCCUCUAUCUGAUAUGAUGGUCUUGGGAAUGCCGUGUAACUUGACGAUCUCAGCCAUAUAUAUCAGCAUACUCGGGAGGUCUGUAUGUGUUCUUAACUGGAAUGAAAUGAGCCGACUUGGUCAAUCGAUCUAUGAUUACCCAAAUCGAGUCAUUUCCCCUUCGUGUUGUUGGCAAACCUGUGAUAAAGUCCAUGCUGACCUCUUCCCACUUCCACUCUGGAACUAACAAUGGUUGCAACAGACCUGCAGGUUUCAUAUGUACAGCCUUGACUCUGCAACACGUGUCACAACAGGCCACAUACGCUACUAUUUCUUUCUUCAUUUUAGUCCACCAAAAAUGAGAUCUUAGGUCUUGAUACAUCUUACUACUGCCAGGAUGAAUAGAGAGCUUGGAGAGAUGUGCUUCAUCCAUGAUGCAAUUCUUUAAAUCUCGAUUCUUCAGAACUACCAACUGGUGCUGAAACCAGAAUACCCCUCUUUCAUCAACUCGGAACUAAGUUUUUUGGGUCAUCUUUGAUCUUCUCUUUGAUGUGGAAAAUACCCUUGUCCGUUUUCUAACCUUCGAUGACUUGACUUUCAAGUGAACAACUGAGCUGUAUGUGACAUAAGACUUCAGGAUGCAUGAGAUUGAAACCAUCCUCAAACAACGGUUGAACCACUUGAUAGUGCGGUUUGCGACUCAAAGCGUCUGCUACCACAUUAGCCUUGCCUAGAUGAUAGUGGACCUCCAGAUCAUAAUCCUUGAUCAUCUCCAACCAUCUUCGUUGCCUCAUAUUCAGCUCGGAUUGAGUGAAGAUGUACUUCAAACUUUUAUGAUCUGUGUAGAUGUGACACUUGUUUCCCAGCAUAUAGUGCCUCCAGAUCUUCGAAGCGUGCACUACUGCUGCUAACUCAAGGUCGUGAGUUGGGUAGUUGACUUCGUGCUUUCUCAACUGUCGUGAAGCGUAAGCUAUAACUCUGCCGUCUUGCAUCAGCACACAUCCUAACCCACUUUUCGACGCGUCGCAGAACACAUCAAAAGGCUUCUCGAUAUUGGGUUGCGCUAGAACAGGAGCGGUGGUUAGCAACUUUCGCAAGGUGUGGAAGGCUAGCUCACACCCUUCCGUCUAGACAAACUUAUGAUCCUUUUGUAGAAAACUGGUCAUUGGCUUAGCAAUCUUGGAGAAGUCGGGUAUGAAACGGCGAUAAUACCCGGCCAGACCAAGAAAACUCCCAACUUCCGAGAUGGAAGUUGGGGCCUUCCAGUCCAUGACUUCCUAUACCUUUGACGGAUCCACAGCAAUCCCCUCUUCAGACAGAAUGUGCCCUAGGAAAGGAACUUUCUUCAGCCAAAACUCGCACUUGCUAAACUUUGCAUACAACUGAUGCUCUCGUAGUCGUGUUAGCACGACUCUUAGAUGCUCGACGUGAUCUUGCUCAUUCUCUGAAUAAACCAGAAUGUCAUCGAUGAACACCACAACAAACUUGUCUAACUCGGGCAUAAAGACCGAAUUCAUCAGAUACAUGAAGUAUGCAGGAGCAUUUGUCAACCCAAAGGACAUAACAAGAUACUCAUACAACCCAUAUCUGGUGGAAAAAGCAGUCUUCGGGAUAUCUUGCGGACGGAUCUUGAUUUGGUGAUACCCAGACCUCAAAUCUAUCUUGGAAAACACUUUUGCCUUGGACAACUGAUCGAACAAGAUAUCAAUCCUUGGCAAAGGGUACUUAUUUUUGAUUGUCACCGCAUUGAGUGGACGAUAGUCCACGCACAUACGCAACGAUUGAUCCUUCUUUUUCACAAACAACGCCGGACAACCCCAUUCUGACGAACUUGGCCGGAUGAACCCUUUAUCCAGUAACUCUUUUAGUUGAUUCUUCAACUCAGCAAGCUCAUUAGGCGGCAUCCGGUACGGCCUUCUAGAUAUCGGGGCGGUACCUGGUAUCAACUCUAUUGCAAACUCUACUUCCCUAUUUGGGGGAAGUCCCGGCAAUUCCUCAGGAAAGACAUCAGAGAACUCGCAGACUACUGGGAUCUGUUCUAGCGAAACCACCUGUACUACACAUGAGAGACUGGCGAAGUCAAAUCGCCGGGGGAGCUUAACCUGAAGCAUACCCUCCCCCUGCAGGUCCUUGAGGGAGAGAGUUCUAUUUCCAUCAUCUAUAACUGCACCCCAGUCGGUCAUCUUAUUCAUUCCUAUGAUAACAUCCAAAACCAGCCCUGGCAUGACCACAAGGUUUACACGAAACCUUCGGCCACUGAUAUCCAAGGUAACCCCUGUUACUGUUUUGUUAGUCAACACAUCAGCCCCUGCCGAACUGAUGCGAUAACCAUAACCCAACUCGGUAACUGGUUGGUCAUGCUUUUGUGCAAAUGCUUGGCUCAUGAAUGAAUGUGAUGAUCUAGAAUCAAACAAAACAACUGCAAGGUGUUGAUUGACAGGAAACAGACAAGCUGUUACAGGUUCUCCUUCUGGGAUUUCCACUAUCGAGGUAUGGUGCACCUGAGCUGGGUAGGUUGUCUGUUGCCUCUUAGGGUAGGGACAUUCCUUAGCAAAGUGCCCCAUUUUGUGGUAGUUGUAGCAUGGCCCCUUGGUCAUGUUGUUGGCGGCAGGUGCCGCAGCUUGGAUUGCUUUUGGCUUGGCAGGAGCUAUCGCCAUCUUGUACGGCUUCUGCUGCAUUGGAUGCCUGGUGUUCCUUCUCUGCGGCGGUCGGAACCUAGCACCUAGGGCAGGAGGACGAUACUGCUAUCGCCCUGCCAUCGGUGUCCUGGACUGAGACGACCCGGCUUCAAAAGCCCUCUUGCGAGACUUGGAUGCACUAUAGUUGUUGUUAUUGUUCUCCUGGGUCAAACAGUCACUGAUGUAAGCAUUGAAGGUAGCCCAGUUUCCUGUACCUAUGGUCUUCAGCAUCUUCGGGCUCAGACCUCUCUGGAAACUAGUGAUUUUCUUAGCCUCCGUGUUCACAAACUUGGGGGCGUAGCGAGCAAGAUUAUUGAAAGCGUGUAGAUACUCCUUCACAGACUUUGUUCCCUAGGACAGCCUCAUGAACUCCCCAACCUUCAUUUCCACCACACCCGGAGGAAUAUAAUUUCCACGAAAAGUGGUGGUGAAGCGGUUCCAGGUGAUUGGAGUCCCCUUUGGGUAGGUGGUACGGUGAUGGGACCACCAAAUCCCAGUAGGUCCUUGCAACUGAUGCGCUGCAUACUCAGCCUUAAGUUCUUCACUCAUCCGAAGAAGACGGAACUUUUGCUCCAUGGUGUUGAUCCACUCAUCUGUCUCGAGCGGUUCUAAGGCCUCCUUGAAAACUGGUGGUUUGGUAUCCAUGAAGUCCUUGAAAGAGCCGUACUGAUUGGCUUCACGGCCGCCCUGGUUAUCCCCACGGCGGGUAUUGUCAGCGAUAUUGCGUAGGGCUUCUUCCAUGUUGCGCUGCAUCUGUUCCAUGUUGCGUUGGCUCCCCAGAAACUGCGCGAAAAACACGUCCGCAGUGUACGGAGGAGGUGGUGGUGGUGGCGGUGAUGGUGCUCUUUUCUCAUUCCAUUGAGCCCCACCUCCGGAAGUACCUGCUCCAAGACCGGGGUUGCUGUUACCCCUGCCACGUGUUUGCACCAUCUGCAUGCGUCAAUGAUAAGGAGUCGUUAGGAGUUGCCAUCAUGGUAGACAUAUGUAGAAUUAUGCCAUACUGAAUUUACUGAGGAAAAUAAAUUCACACAAUAAACAGAGGCACAACAAUUCAUCAUCCACACACAACAUCACUAACAGAUUACUUAACAUUCGAGCAACAAGGUUCGCAUACAUCCAGAAUUGCCAGCAUAUAUACACUGGUCUUCCAACGUCAUCACAUAAAGUUUUACACAGCCCAAAUCCAAGAUUACAAGGCAUGCCAUCCAACAACAACAACAAAAGAAGAAGGACUAGCUCUCUAGAGCCCUAGCAUCUACUUGCUAUAGUCACUGUCCACGCCGGAACCCUCCUCGUCCUCAUCUCCACUAGCAGCUGCCUCUAUCUCUGGAUCCUCAUCCAUCUCAUCCUCAGAGUCUAACUUAGCUGCUCUAGGCAGGUGGUGAAGGUGGAGCUGGUUGUGCAGCUGGUGGAUCUCCUCAUGCAGGUUCUCAUUGUACUCCUCAGCAUUAGCUAGCUGCUGCUCAAGCUCUAGCUGUCGGGCUCUCAGGGUGUCCUCCUCGUGCCAGGCUUCAUUCCUCUGACCAAGCACAUGAACUAGCAUGCGCUCGUAGUUCCUAUGAGCAGUAGUCACCCUAGCCCUCUGCUCUCUCACUGCAAGCAGGUCCUGACUCAGCUCACUGUUCUUCUGGACCGCCUGAUCCCUCUCUCGGGUCAAGUGGGCCAACUCUGCCUGCAACCUCUCAACCUCAGUGUCGAACUCACACUGCAGCUGGCGCUUCUCAUCCUGAACUGUGAGAAGAGAGACGGACAAGCAUCCCAAGCAACGCUCCAGACCCCCAUAGGUCUUCAUCAAAGCGAACAUAGCACUCAUAGCUGCACUGUCACUGUGCUGGUCCUCAUCCGCACUCCUCUCUAGAGCGUUCACCUCGGACUGAUCCCACACUGAAGUGUAGGGGUCACCUCGGGGAAACACCCCAGCGAAGGCAUGGGCCAGCUCCUAUGGAAACCUCUCCAUGAUGUCCCUUAGAACUGCAAAAGCUGCUCUGCUGGCACCGUGGAAAGGCGUGGUACCUCAGGACUCGUACACCCAGCCACCCCAGGCGGGGUCACCUCCACUGGUAGGGACCACUGCCUCAAUCCCCACCAGGGUCCCAUCACCAAGCUGUUCCUUGUUCUAAUAAUAGCGAGGUUCCCUUCCUUUGGGAUACCCCAUAGAAUUGAGCACCCUCCAAAGCAGGGUGGGCAUCCCGAACUCCUCCAAGAACUUGCUCUUAUGUCGCGAGAUCCUGGCUGCCAACUGAUGGCGAGGGGCCCACCCACCAGUGGACUUGUGAGCGGUGAGCCUAGUGCGUGACAUGUGCUGCAAAUGGAAUACCUUGGGUAAGAUUGAGGAGUACCUUUUGUUAACUUAAUUAAAAUUGGGACAGAUUUACUUUAAGGGAGGGAAGUAAGCAAUGAUAUGGAAUGAACAUGAUGCAUGCACGAACUUACGAUCUCACAAACUUGGAAACAAAAGUUAUCACUAAUCAGUAUAUGCGGUGGCACACACGUACUCUCAUAACGUAACUAGCGUUCUAGGCGGGAACAUGGUUAGUGUACCUGCAGAAAACUCAUUUCAGCCCAACCACAGUAUGAACAUGGAGAACAAGAAUUUCAAGCUAUACUCCCCACACACAUAGACACCCCGUCCAUGCAUAUGAUGUGUUACUACCCACAUCAUCGCCCUAGUGACGGCAUCGCCUCUCAGGACGGAAUCUCCCAACAUGCGGUACUGUUCCCAUGCACACCAAACAUGUGUACACGAUGCAGCACCUAACAACACUUCCCUAGAUCGGCAGUGUAUCCGAUCAUGCUCUCACAGCUCCCACUUACCGAGGCGUAGAGGAAGAAUUGAUCCAUACAUUACCACUCAAAUGAAUGGUACUCAUACUAUUGCAUGCCGUAUGAGCGACGAAAUAGAAAUAUGAUGCAUUAACCCCCAAUUCAGUACUUAACUAGCCACCUUAGAGUCCUUAACUGGGCAUAAAGGAUAUGACCAUGGCACACUAGAUAGUUUUCCAAAAACUUGGUUUGACACCUUGAUUAUCAUUAAUUAAUAAUAAUCUUUUGUUAAACCGGUUUAAGUUUACUUUAGAACGUACUUAUGAACAGUAACUCGCUAAACCUUGCUCCGAUGCCAGCUGUAACAGAACCGCCCAAAUUAUAAGAGAUUAAGCCUAAUAGUGACCAUUUGCACGGUCAAACCAUCGAGCUUAAGCCCAUAUAAUCCCGGUAGUAUGUGAAAUCUCGAAGGAUUUCAAACCACAUAUCGUACAUACAACCAAGAUCGUAAUAAGUUUAGCGGUCCCCAUUCACAAUUACAUCCAGUUCACCACAUUCAUAAAAUACAUCGGAGUUCUUGAAAUUAUUACAAACCAAGUUCUCAAGUAGCGGAAGCUUCAUAGUUUGAAAAUAACACACACACUUAGUCUGGUAUAGUGCCACAGUUCGGUCAUUCCGACAAAAGCAAAAGAGGAGGUAGAGUGACCAUCGCCCUUGGUCUAGUCAUCGCCCAUUGCUGGGUACAGGCAGAGGAUGCAAUAACCAUAGUACAUUUGACCAUCUGUAAAACAACAUGGGAAUGGAACCCAGAGUACGAGAAUGUACUCAGCUAGACUUACCCGUCAUAACGAAAAAUAAAGACUCUUCAAGGAUCAUGAAGGCUAUAUGGUGGGGUAGCUGAGACUUUUUGCAUAAAAGCACUGUUCCACUGAACAUAGUCUAAAGACCUUUCUUCUUUUAAUUAGCUCAAGUUCGAUAUUAUCGUUACCUAUUAUCUAGGUUUGCACCUGUAGUAUUGCAAGCAAGUGUAGUAAUAUGAUGGUACCUCAUUAUAGCAUUCAUAAAUCAUUUCUGAUCAUAACCCAAGUGUUCCAUAGUCCUUACUAUGAGAACGAAGCUUAUGUCAAGUGCUCACUAUUCAGGAGCGAUGGCGAUUCGAAUUGAUUUCUGACCAGCUGGCGAGUUUAUUCCCCACACAAACCACACUCACUGAUCAAGUGAGCUACAGAUCACCGUGUUGCACUAUCCAGGACCAAUUCGCGGGUUCGACAGGCACCGCCCGUACCCGAGCACGGUUCCGGCGACCGAGGUAUCCAGGGUAUACUAAGGUUGCACGCCGCACCCUCGUCGUUCUCCCCAACCAUCACCAAUACAGCGCGUACAUCGGGCCAAUUCCCGGCCCGGAUAGUGCUCAGGCUUCGCGGUCGGAACGACUUAUCCUUCCAGCUAAGUGUGGGGCAUGCGUUCAACAUGACAAGAGGGCCGCCAACGAUCGGUCCUUAAUCGACAAAGGCAGGGGCACUAUGGUCAACCCACCGUAAGACCCUGCCCGGUCUCAAAUUCCUUUCCCCACUCGGUUAUCCUUUCCCAAAGCAAUCACCGCUAAUCAAGCAGGUAUCCACCUAUAUUCUCGCAGGUGACAGGAAAUCACCCGACUUAUACCGGACUAAGCAAGCUAAGCAUAGACUCCGUGCCUAUCUACAUAGGUCAAGGUGGAUAAACAAGUGGUGAUAUCAAAGAGUACAUAUGCAUCAACGGUAUCAAGCAAUUCCUAUCACUUAAAUACAACAUAGUAGAACAAGCAUAAUAUAUCAUUCUUGUUAGCGAGAAUAGGGAGACUUAGAAUGCUUCGGGGCUUGCCUUUCUCAAACGUGCUCGGUUUAUGAUCCGGGCACUCUUGUUGCUCUUCUCCGGGCUCCGGUCCUCCCAGAGGUUCCUGGUCCUGGGUCUCCUCCUGCUCCUCGGGUCCCACCUCGUUCUUCUGCGAGCCUGUAUGAUGUAUCUAUGCUCAUGAGUGUAGUGCGAGAUGCCCGGGGUGCAAUGCUUAUGCAAGUGGGUAACAGAUGACGAUGACAUGGUGCAUAGAUGAUAUAUGUGGUCAUUUCUACAAGGUAGUCAACAUCAUCCAAGAAUGUGUAACCGAACUAAGCAUCUAUUGUAUUCUUUUCUACAAGUUGUCUUCAUGAUUAACCAGCAAACUCACAUGAUGCUUCAAAGAUACACCAAACACCAAUUUACUUUAUUUAAUCUAGGUAUAAUAAUUCAUAAUUUAUUUAUCCACUUUUAGGCCUACAAAAGUAGCAUAUAUUUCUGUUUAUCAAUAAAUUCCACAAAAAUUAUAGCAGAUCACUAGUCAACCAUAAAGUCUACCAUAAAUUUCUCAUAAUAUUUGUACAUUUAUUUUGGGCUACAAAAAUCACAAGAUUAAUUCCUAUAAGCAAGUAUAAAUAUCCUACUGUGGUAUAAGUGCCAAACAACAGAUUUCAUAUUUUCAUAAUUAACCUAUUAACAUAAGAAACACCCACAAAAAUUUCUAGAUUAAUUACAUGAUCCAAUUAUUUAUUAAAAAUCAUAAACCACUGCCAUGCAAGCAUUUAAAUCACCAUAAAUUAAUUCAUAUAGCAAUUAAUGUGUUUCCCAGAGCCUAAUCAUCCAUGUAGAGCCAGCAAAACAAGUUUCAUAUUUUUCUGAGCUAUAUUUUAAUUACUAUUCAUUUUCUAAUUUUCAGCAAAAACAUGGAUUAAAUAUAUUUGCACAGAAAAGUUGCUCAAACAUGACAUGCAGCCACUCAAAACUAUAGAUCUGAGAUUAUAGAACACAUCAAGAUUUAUUUCAUCAGUUUUGGAGCCAUAUAUCUCAAGAUAUGGAUUUUAUAUCAUUUAAACUAUUUUCUGGAAAUUAUUUUCUGAAAACCAAUACGAAAUCGGGAUGAAAAACGCUAAAGACACCCGGAUCUCUACCCAUCUCGGUUCCCCCCGCGACUGUGGGCCCCCGACCCCACUGGUCAGCGUGACCGAGAGGGAGGGGCACCUCCGACGAGCGGAUCUCGCCGGCGGUGAGGUCCCCGGCCACGGGGUGAGCACCAUCGUGCUCCCCGCAGCGAGGUGCACCCAAGGGUGCCCUUGGAUCGGCCGGAAGAUGACCUGAGCACCCUCGCGAGCAUGCAUGGCGGCACGGCGGCGCUGCUCGCCGUGGCCAGGCCGCUUCGGUGCGGUAGAGCGCGCGCGGGGUUCCGUCGAGGCUUCCUCGUCGAGCUAUGGACCUAACGCGCCCAGAAGCAAGCAAAACGAGGCAGAAACGAGUGAGGUUCGACGCGGCGGAGCACUCCGACGAGGUCGGGGAAACUCCGGCGAGCGAUUCAUGGCGUGCGGCAGUCUCUCACCUCGGUAGAGCGUGACGAGUGCGGUGGUGCUCUUGGCGCAGAGAACGGGUCACUGGUGUGGCCGGCGGUGAGCGGCGGAGCUCUCCGACGAUGGCGCUGCGGCGGAGUUGCUGCGGCUGCGGCGCUCGUGAGCGGAGGAAGGAGAGGAGAGAGGAGCGGGGGCGACAGAGUGGAGCCUGGGGGCGCGGGGCGGCGUCCCAACCAGGUUAAGGUCGGUCGGCCGCGGCGCGUCCACGACGCCGACGUACGGCCGCCACGUGGCCGGCGUCGGGUGGACGAAGGCGGGCGUCCACACGCGGGAGAGAGGGGUGGGGAGAACGGGCCGCGCUGUCUAGCUGGGCCGAAAGGGAGGCAGGUCGGCCCAGCAGCGCCUUCCCCAUUUUCUUUUUUUUUAAUUUCUUUUCUCCAAAAAGUUUAAAUAAGACUUUUGAGGCUUUUACAAAUCUUUUUAGGGGUUGGAGUAAAAAGAAAAAUUGUUCCCCUCAAAAUUCCUAACAACUUUGUUUUAAUAAUCAAAGCCAAAUUCCAAAUAGAAUUUGAACCACAAAUUAAAACUAGUUCUAGGUUUUUAAUAAACUCAUUUUAGGGAUUUUUGUAUAAAUUCCAUUUUCUCAAUUUCUUUGGCUCCAAGAAUUUCACAAAAUAACUCUUAAUUCUUCUAACACAUAUUUCAACCUAAUUUGGG
rnacentral:lncRNA from 1 species